ensembl:lncRNA
GUCCCUGCCUGCAGCUGUGGCACGGCAAUGACCUACAGCCCGUGCUCCUCCCAUUGAUGUGGGUGCACGCAGACUUUGCAGGGUCCAAGCUCUGCAUUUUAGUACUCAUUUUGAAUGAGUUUUCUUUAAAUCACGUUUAUUUUCGAUGUUGGCUUUCUCGGGACCGCAUUCAGGAUCUGAGCUUUCUGCAUCAGAAUCCAAGACAACUCCUCAUUUUGUUGAAGAAUUGUCCAGAAAUGAAGAAGACUUUCCUGUCAGAGGGAGAUUUCUCUGCCAUGGAUCUCAUCUGGGUUCUGGAAACUACUGUUCCCCUGAGAAAAUGAAGGGAAUAUGGACCUCUCCAGGAGUCAAAUUUCUGUCUUUUGCAUACCUGCACUGAUUGGGCUUCCAAGGUGGGAGAUUUCUUACCUUCUCCUUUGGAUAGUAACAGCAGAGCAUUUGUUUGGUCCACCUUGCCCAGGGAGGAGGCUACCAUCAGCACUAGUGGGCAUGCAGGUUCAGAGAGAUGGGCAGGAUCUGCAUGAGCCUUGAACCAAGACUGCUGAACACAAUGUCAGUAGGUGUUUUGCUUGACUUUACACUCCAUGUUUGGGCAUGUUUGAAAGCAGGCAAGGCAGUUGACUGAAUGCAUUCAGAUCUCCAGCCCAGAGGAGAUGACAAUUUAAUUUUGAAUCACAGAAUCACAGAGUAACACAGAAUCACAGAACUGCAGCGGUUGGAAGGGACCUCAUGAAAACGAAUCCAGCUCCCCUGCUAAAGCAGGUACCCUACAGCACGUUGCAUAGGUAGGUGUCCAGAUGGAUCUUGAAUAUUCCCAUAGAAAGAGACCCCACAACCUCUCUGAGCAGCCUGUUCCCCUUACUGUAAAGAAGUUCUUCUGCAAGUUGGUACAGAACUUCCUAUGUUCAAGUUUUAGGUAAUUGUUCCUUGUCCUGUUGUUACACACCACUGAGAAUAGACUGGCCCCAUCCAUUUGCCUUUGACCUCCCUUUAGAUAUUUAUAAACAUUUAUCAGAUCUCUCCUCAGUCAUUUCACCAGGUGAACAGACCCAGGUUACUCAGACUUUCCUCAUAUGUGAGAUGGUCCAAGUCCUUUACCAUCUUUGUGGCCCUCCACCAGUCUCCUUCUAGGAGAUCGCUGUGUUUUUUGAACUGAGGAGCCCAGAACUGGACACAGUACUCCAGAUGUGGCAUCAUCAGGGCAGAGUAGAGGGGGAGGAUCACUUCUGUUGACCUGCUGGCCAUGCUGAUGACCAGCAGGAUGAGCUAAAAAAAAUAGGAGAUGAGGUUGCCCAUAGAUGCAACCCUCUUGGAGCUUCUCUAAAACAAGCCCAUCUGUUUGCUCAUAUUUACCCUGUCUGGAUGAUGCUACAGACUUUUUUGCAGCUAUCAUUUCCCAGUGUUGUUGAAUUCAGGGUGGAAAUAGUGGUGAGAACAUUUUCCUGGGACUCUUCCUCCCCUCUGAACUGAAAUGGAGCCCACCCCUGGCAAGAGAUGGGCAGGUGGAAGACAGCGUAAGUGUUGUGUGGAAAGGGACACUGACCUGCUCUGUCGUCUCUGAUGAAUUACUUCCACAAAGCAGCAACGUGGUUAUCUUUAACAAGAACUUUGUCCAGCACAGCGAGGCUUUGCUUCAGCUUCGCCACUGUGGAAUACUCUCAUAACUUUAAUUCAUAUCAGGGGUCGAUUGUGAGUUUAAAUAUAUGCAAUGCACUUUUAAGUCUUGUGCAAACAAAGACCAGACAGGGACUGGGACAAACUGAUGCAUGAGCAACCAUGUUGUUCCUUCUCCAGUCCAAGAACUGGAUUCUUUCACAAAAUCCUCUGUGUGGCAGUGAUAACAAGACAAAUAUUUGACAUAGCUGUAAGAUAACACUCUGACACACUAGUAAACACAAGUGAAUUAGUGGUUAUGAGAGAGACCCCAUGACACAGUUGCUUGCAGUAAGUUGGAUGCCAUCUCUUAGAAGACUUCUUGCAACCUGUUCUUAUCGGUUUUUGGUACAGAUUAAUGGGGAGUCUUCCAGUAGGAUUUGGGUUACUGUCUGGCAUAGACACUUUUGAAAAUCUUACCUUAUCUCUAUGUAAUGACUAUGUAAUUCAUGCAGUGUGUUGAAGGUACACUUGAAAAAGUAGGUCUGGAUCGUAAUAUCCCUCCCUGCAUCCUUCUUUCCCAUCAGGCCAAAAUGGCACACCUCUGUGUGUGCUGGAUUACAAUUUAUGCUGAAAAUGUUCCACAAAGGUCAUAGCAGCUAUCUGAGGAACAAGCAGAGCUGUGCACCCUGCCCUGUGCUCAUGUAGAUUACCAGAGGUAGCAAUAAGGCCAGGGACUGUGUGCAGUAAGGAAAACUAGAGAAACUUGGAAACUGCGCAGGCUUUAGAUUGUAGAGUGUUACCAAGGGCUCAGAUGGGAGAGUUUACCAGAAGAAGUGCAAUUUAGAAAUUGAAACAGAUGGAAUUUCAGUAUCCUUUGCAAAUUGGCGUAUCAGACUCCUACAAUAGCUUGCAGAAUCCUUGUCCCUCCCAGUGCAUAGCUGGUUCUUACUCCCUGAACUUGAUUUGUUAACAUCUGAUGUCGAAGGGUCUGUUUCUUAUUUUUGUUGAGUUAUACCUUAAAUGUGUCCUUUUUGGCUACUUAUGUUCUCAUUUCUGCAAAGCGGCAGCCAAGCAGGGGCCCAAGAGCUCAUUCCUGGCCUUCAGAUUUAUUCCCAUCGCUUUGAUGGGUUGAGUCUGGUGCUGCCUGUAUUGCAGAGCACCUGGAUGGGGCGAUCACAGGCAUUCACUGGCACUGUGAUCUCAGCUGUGGAAACAAUUCUGCUGGCAGCAGAAGCUCAGUUUCACUGGGGAGGGGCCCAUAUUUCUUGUUUGAAGUGUGUGAAGCCUCAUCACAGUUCUGUUAUCAGACCCACUGGAAUUUUUUCCUUUCCUCUCUUCUUGGUCCACCUUCUCUCAUUCCUCUAAAUCUUACUUUACUUCUGCUUCUUCUCAAAGUCCCUAAUGUUACUUUUCUGGCUCUUUUUUUCUGUAAUCUCUCCCUUCAUUUUUUCUUCACCCAUUAGCUCUUCCUUCACAAUGCUCCUCUACUGCCUCCUCCAUUUUCUCUGCCUCUCUUGUUCACUUUCCAGGUGCCUCUCAUUCUUCUCCCCAUGUCCUCACUUUCAUUUCUUCUCCAGAAGCUCUCUGAAUUGCUGCAGCUAUGGGGUAUACCCCUUGGAAAGAUAGCCCUGUCUGAGUUAGAGGUGCUGUGAGCUGCAGGUCUGUUGCUGAUGUUAGUAUUUUUUUUGACAAGUGACACAGGUGACACAAGUGACACAGGGGGCCCAUGGAGCCAAGUAGCGUAGCUGGGCAGUAGAAGGCAGCUUAUGCCACAAAAGACAUCACUUGCUCCAUGGACCAAAAGAGAUUACAGCCCCAUUCCGACACAUAAACCAUUGAGGUUUACUGAAAAUAAGGAUUGAUUUGCUGGGCUAUUUAGAGGCAUUAAGAUGCAGAUAUAUAUUUUCUCCCCAGUCUGAUGUCAUUUUGCAUGUUAACUGCCUAAUUCCUUUUAGCCUAUUGAUUUUACUGGUUUAUAAGAAUGACACUUGUGUAGAAACUGUGGAGAACUUUGCUCAGGGUGACCAGUGAAGACUGUCAGUUUCUCUCAGUCGUCUUAUGGGGGGACUGAAGGCUCAGCACAGUUUAAGAGGAGAAAAAAUAGGGAGAGAAAGAACAAUGGCACUUCAUAGACCAUACUCCUUAGGUUGUAUCUGACUCUGGCUAAAUGACCUGGACUGAAAAAUGUUUUCCUGAGGCUCAGCUCAGCUGACAUCUGCAGCAUGGUCCUCAUAUUUUGUGAUAGUCGAGAGUGGUAUUCAUGAAAUUCUGUGUCAACUUCUUUAGCAUAUUAAGAUUGAAGAAUGCUAUGAAGUAAGCAUGAAUAUCAUUAUUCAAUUUCUCUUCCUUCUAGUAACUCUGAUUUACUUCAGAUUUUACGUGAUCUCCCAAUUAUCAGAGUUUGAUGUGCCACAGGUGUUUCUAUAAGCAUACUGUUGUAUUGCUUUUCGUUCCUUGGAGAACAGUUGAUGCUUUGCCAAUGUCUGAAUGGACCUGCUAACUCUGAGAGCAAAGAAGUGGUUAAUUUGAUAAUAUUUAACUUGCCAAACCAUUCAUAUGCAGAGGUAACGUGCUCAGGAGUUGAACAGGGCAGUGCGAUCUCCCUUAGCUAUCAUUUCAGGAUGCCUGCAGAAUCAGGAAGGCCGUGUAUCAGCUUACACUCAACUUGGUAAUCUUGCAUGGGGCCUGUUUGUGUCUCUUGUGCUGAAGGCUGAAUGUAAAAUGAACAUUGUUAGCCAAGAAAGCAAAUAAAGGGAACUAUUUCCCAAGGCAUUUUACUCUGUUUAUUUAACGCCUCUGAACAAACCCCUUUCCACAUCCUCUGAACCUACUGGCAACUUCAGAUAGCUCCAUUUCCUGCUGGGUGAGUUUUUUCUAAAAUGUUUAUUCAGCUCCAGGAAAUGAUGAUUUCCUGAAUAUUCUGAAACUUCAUAUUUUUGUUGUAUCCCUGUUUAUUUAAUAGUCUUACUUAUUGUGUGAGUGUGCAAAGCACAACAACAUCCCUUGCCAUGUAACUGUGGAAGGAGUGGAACUUGAUGUAGUACAUCAAAAACCAGUUUAAGUGAAACUAGAUCUGUUUUUGCCAAUUUAUACACUAGUGUAUUUCCAUUAGCUUGAGUAGUUACUCCUUAUUUACACUGACCUUAAUGAGUUCGGAAGUAGGCUUUUAAAUUUCUCCUACUCCUUAAGAAAAAGUGCCUAAAAAUUCAAACUAGUGAAGGAGAAUUAAUUAGCCCAAAGCUCAACAUUUUAUAAUUCACAGCUUACAUUAAUGUCUGCUAGUUUUCUUUAUGCAGGAAACCAAUAGAAGGCACCAAAUGUUUUCGUCGCCCUCCACUGGGACUAAAAUUGAGAAAUUCUUAUUUUCUGAGGUCAAAGCUAACCUGUAUCCAGCACCCCAUCCCAACAUGGGUUUCACUAAAGAGAUUGAAACCUGUACACAGCCUUAAUGAAAAGGCCAUAAUAUUUUAUGUGAACCAGGAGUAACUAUGCUGAAAUGAGAAGUGCUUCACUAAGGUAAAUCAAGUGGGAUUGGUCCCAAAAGAAAUUCAGGAAUUACAUAGCUUUGCCAUUAACCUUGAACUGAGCCAAGUGUGUCUUCCAUGCUUUCUCCUUCUUUCUUGUCUACUUUUUGUUAACCUGCAUGGUCAGCUAUGACUUUUUUUUUUUUUCUUUUCUUUUUACAGGCAGAAAAGGUAAUUUAUGUUUCUUCUGAGCCUCAAGAGACAAUAUGGGCAUGCUGCGUUACCAUGCCCUAAAUGAAAUCUUAGAGUACCUAAGUAAAACUCACUCCACCCUUACCUGGAAGUUCCACUCAUGGAAACCACAUCCUUUCAUUGCCACCCACGUCUCCAUUCGGAAAGGACUUUGAAGGAGGAAGACUGAAGAUUAGAUCAUUCUUUUAUUAAGCAUCCUUUUGUCUGUUUUGCUCCAGAAACCAUGCUCUUCCUCUCCUAUGAGUCAUUUGUUGUUACUCUUACAACGUCUGUGGUAGGAAGGCUGGGUGCUUUCCCCCAAUUUAAAAUGUUCUUUUUAGAGUCUCUUCUCUUCUCUUCUCUUCUCUUCUCUUCUCUUCUCUUCUCUUCUCUUCUCUUCUCUUCUCUUCUCUUCUCUUCUCUUCUCUUCUCUUCUCUUCUCUUCUCUUCUCUUCUCUUCUCUUCUCUUCUCUUCUCUUCUCUUCUCUUCUCUUCUCUUCUCUUCUCUUCUCUUCUCUUCUCUUCUCUUCUCUUCUCUUCUCUUCUCUUCUCUUCUCUUUUUCUUCCCUUCCCUUCCCUUCCACUCCCUUCCCUUCUCCCUUUCCUCUCCUCUCCCUUUCUCCUCCCCUCCCCUCCCCUCUCCUCCCUUCCUUCCUUCCAUGUCCCUUCUUUGUUUUUUGUUAUGCAUUUCAUAUUCAUUCACUAUUUUUACCCAAUUCAGACAGAGCCAUGCUACAUUGUGGACUAUUGCCAAAAAUUCUGCCAGUGACAAAGAUUGAAGCCUUCAUACGAACUGGAAGGAGUCUGUUCUUGGUCCACCCCAUGUGAAGCAACACUGUGCCCAUGCAUCUCUAUCUGAGAUGAAUAUUCUUUCUUUUGAUGCCAAGUAUUUGAUGUCCACCUACUGAGCUGAGUAAUCUCUGAGGAUGCCAUUGUUGCCAUGUUACCUCCUUCCUGAGUUCCUGUUGUGUAACUUUCCCACCAAUGUCUAUACUGGAUGGUGAAAAGAAGAAUGAAGACGAGACAGCCAGUGCUGUCAGCUUUUCUUCCACCUGAUUCAGGCUUUGGCCAUGCCCUGUAUCUGCUCCAGAAAGCCAAGGCUUCAGAUGAAGGAUGGAAGAAGGAAAGCAGGAGGCUGGGAAAUGAUUUUGGUCAUGUCCACGCUGGCAGGGCCUGAAUCUUGAUAUGUUUGCUACAUGAUACUACCACAAUUCCUUAAGGAGUAACAUGAUAGUUUUCUGCAGAGGAAUGUUUUCUGAACAUGGCCAAAAUAUGGCAUUUGGAAAAGUGAGCUGCACAUCAUUUCUCCAAAUGAGAAUGCAAAUAGCGGAGAAUGCAAAUAGCUGGCCUUUUAAAGCCUCCCUGAAAAUUUCAUAGACAACUCAGAUCAAUAUGAUUUAAAGGACUUCUCUCCUGACAACACUAACCCUAUGGAUAGUCCCUCCCAUGCUGUCUGUGAUCAUCCUACCAGGCCCUGCUGCCAGCAUGAAAAAUACAAUAUCAAGUUUGAGGAAAUCUGUGGCAGAAAAUAAUACCAACUUUUGCAUGUACUACUGAGUAACUGGACUCCAAAAGUGAAACAGAGAGAGUGACAAGUAAUGAUGGACAAGAAAAGGCUCAUCCCUUAGACACAAAGCAAGCUCCAAGAUCUGCUCUUCCUACUUGUGUUAUAUUUACCUUGUCUUUCUGUACUGUGGAGACACAGGAACUCACAGGGCAUGGUGAUCCAAGCUUGCAAAUGGAAACAAGGUCUACAGUCUCGGUGAGGAAGCUGGCAUGGUGGGGUGUGUUAAGGCCCACAACAUAUUACAUGAUGAUGGAUUGAUGGGACCACAUCAAGGGGCCCUGAGAGCAAUGUGGCUCUUUGGGUAAGAGGAGAUGGCAGAAUCAGAGGAACAUCGUUAGUUAACCCACCCACAGUGCGGGAGAGACCUCAAAACCAACAAACAAUAGGUUAGAAGCUCACAGCUGGAGGUGGCAGCCCCAUAAUAACACCAGUGACAAAAAUCAAAGGAAUAAGAAGGAGCAGUUAACAUUUCCUCCACAAAUGCUAAAAACAGCACCAAAUAAUGUGUAUGAAUCAUCAUAUCUACUCUUACGCAAGCUGGAAUAAAAAUGUAAGAGUCAUGCAAACUGGGAUAAACUGUCACGCUCUGAGACAUAAUGCAUCUCCAGAAGUAAAGAAGAAACUGUUCCACAGGCAAGACUUGGCAUAAUUACACUCUGUGCGGGAUUUUGCACCUUUCUUUAAAGUAUCUGUGCUAACAACUGCCAGAGAUGACGUACCAAGCUGCAGAAGGCGUUUGGCUAACCUGCAGUGGCAGUGCCUAUCUCACUACUGGUUUAAUUCUGUCCCCCUUCCACUUUUUCACUACACACCCAUGCUACGAGACUGUAUGACAAAUGCCACUCAAAGGCAAGAGGUACACAUCCAGUAUUAGGUUUGUAAGGCAAUUAAAUUGUCCUUUUAAUGUUCUCUUAAUCACUGUGGUUUCUGUAGCGCCAUAUUAGAUACAUGUUGAAAUGAUGUCUUACUUCCACUGAUUAUACCAGUGUCCUUGUCUUUAAUGCAUUCACACUUCUGAAAGUUACUGCUCUUUUUGUCUUGUCUCCAGCUACAAUAUUCAGAAGACUAUGUUCUUAAAAGCAGCAAUUAGCACAUUGCAGUGGUACAGACGUCAACUAAUCCCCAUGGUGAUGAGAUCCCAAAGGCAAAGCAUGUGCUAACAAUCUGAACAAUACCAGGGAGCAUUUCUGGGCAUUGGGACUCAGUCAUCUAUAUUGCUAAAUUACCAGGAUCCCUCCAGGCACAUUUUCAGCCCAUCCUGACCACCAAUGUCAAACAGUCCCCAGUAUUGGAGUCAGCUUGGGACACUGACCAUUCCCCUCAAGCAGUUCGGAUGUGAUCACCCUCCCCUGGAGAGUUUCACAGUGCAGAUGAAAUGCAUCCCAUUCUGUGCCCAGGGGGCCUCCCUUCCAGAGGACAGCAAUAGAUGCAGUUAAUACAGUAAUGUUGAUAGCUGAGGUUCUCCCAUCUCAUAUUCACUUCUUGCUUUCAUUCCCUGUACUCAUGAAAUUCUUACUCUCGUCUGCCUUCUCUUCUGCUUUAUCACAUAGCGUGGUGUGAUGCCCAUGACUUAAGCAAGGAUAGCCAUCAUUCUUCGUGCUCCCCCAUAAGCAAGGUGUUUAGGGCUGCAGGACUCAGAGGAUGCCCUGGGUUCUGGAUUUUCUUAUGUUUAGAAUCCCUUUCCUCAGAGCCAGGAACUACAGUGAUUUAGCAAACAGUGUGAUAUCUAAUAGCUAGCAAGCUGAGAGGUAUGGAACAGCCAACGGGGAAAGCCCUGCAAAAGAACAGAGUGAAUCCCAGAGCCACAGCUGGGUGCCUAUGGCUGCUACCUUUGGUGAAAACUGAUGGUGCCUGUCAUUUUGGGGGAUUAGGUUCUUGAACUAGCCCUGUCUUAGAGACUGUUAGGUAUAGAGGCAGGCCAGUAAAUGAUUUCUGGUUUCAGGAGUGGCUGGGGGGAUUAGUAUACACAUGUGUUUACAGCCUUGCAGUGGCAAUAGGUUGCCUAAAUGUUCUGUGGAUCAAACUACACAUCAGCCAGUGCUGAGAUUUACAGGGCUUCCUUGCAGUUCAGCUUAUUAUGGCCCAUGGUGCCUCACCACAGUUCUCCUGGCAAGUGUCUUAGCACGAAGAGCCAGACCAAGGUCAGGAUACUUCCAAAUUCAUCAAAAAGGGACUGAAAUUAACCACAGGCAGUGCAGGGCACUAUGUUGUCCCCAUGCAGCAGUAUCACAUUCCCCGUUGGGUCCCAUGUGUCAUCCAGAGCUGCUUGAUGUGCUGUGUUAUAAGCACAGGCUUUCUCUAUCCGAACCACACCAUAUGGGUGCCUCAUUCCUUUUACAUGCGGCUGCAGGUUUCCUGCUGCAUAUGCUCAGCCUCCCACAGCUGGAAGCAGUAAGAGGUAGUUUGAUCUACAUGUUAUACUCAGGAAGGAUUGAAGUUUGCAAAUUUUUAGCACUCUGCACGCUAGCAGGCCCAUAAUAAUCUUUAUUGGCGGGUUUGUUUGCUUUAUGGUUGCAAUUUUCAUCCUUCGAUGAGAAGCUUCCAGCACUUCCUGCAGGAGCAGAAGGCUAUUGUCACUUUAUCACUUCACAGUUGCAGAUCUCUGUCCACCACUCACUGGUCUGUGGUAAACAACAUCUCCAGCGUUGCUUCUGUCCGUCAAGGGAAAGGGUUGAGCUGGCAUUUUGCCACAUUUGGCAAGUGUGGGCUGAUACAAACGAUACGAGGUUUUUUUUAUAGUGCCUAUCACCAGAGUAUCAAAGCGCUGAAACACUGCUAGUCGUGUUUGCCUCCCCAUUGAUCUUAUCACCAAAGGCCAGUCCUACCAUCCGUCUUCCAUGUGGUAUUGCUUAGAGGCUUCGUUUUGUCAGAUAGGCUGCUCUGCAUCCAGUGCUGGGGUAGGCUCUAACUCUGGGAUCUGGUUCCAGGCUUUAAUUAGGACUGAUGGCAAAUGGGCUGUUCACAAAUGCUUUUUGCAAGAUGACUCCUGCACAGUCAGAAGCUCUCUUAAAUUCAUUUGUCUCAUGUAGUGAACUUUUCAUUGCUUUAAGAGGCCUACGGAUGCUGCAGGUGUUAAAACUGAGGUCAAAGUAUUCUACAUCAGGUGGAACCCACAUAGGCAACAUCCUAGAAACUAAUUUGUAAUAAGUCUGUGAUGUUCAGAACGAGAUGGUUCUGCCAAUCUGAGCUGACUGACUGUUUGUUCAUGAUCUAUAUAAUAGUUGCAUUAGACCUUUUAAAUUUCAAUAUAUUUUUAUGCUUUGGCACUCUCCAGACACAUUGAAAUAAAUCUUGUGCAUUUCUGCAUGUUGCAGCAACUGGGUAAGUGCUACUGUGGUCAGUUUUAAUAGGUAUUAAUACAGUAAGUAGCAAGCAAAUUAUAACUGUUUCACAUUAGACGUAAUUUUACAGCAGACAAUUUUAUAAGGAGAAUGGAAUGAAUCAAAUACAGUAGUUUGUAUUAAAAUAUCUUUUACAUUCCCUGUGUUCCAGUGGAACUGAUGACAAGUCUAAGGAAGCAUGCUAGGACAAACAGACCAGAAAAUUAAAUUCUUCUAGCUUUCAUAUGCCACAGCAGGAAUAAUUUGGCUUUUUUUUUUCUUUCUUUCUCAGCCUUUCUUUCAAUUUUCUUUUUUGGAGAGAGGAUGACAAUGUAGUAUUACAUUUCCAAAUCCUAUAAAAAACCAUACAUUUUCAGUUUCAUACAACUAUGGUCUGGUUUAGUUCCUCUGGAUGGACUCUAAUGUGGUAUUCGUGAUAAUGUCAUUUACUUUGCAUGUGAAUAAAGCCAAAUGGUUACACACAAGGCUUGAAUCUCAUAGCUCUGGAUCUUUGGGAAAUGUUUAUUCUCUCAAUUAAGCAUAUAUAUAUUUGCCAGAUGUACAAGGUCUCACAGCGUUUUUAUGUACACCCCAUGCUAAAAGAGUCUGUGCUCAAGCUCUAGAUCCCACUGAAUGCAGAGCACUUCAACAUGUGGGUGUCUUUGCACUGAGGCAUUGGCUGCUUUGAUCUCAGUGUUCUUCGUGAGUCAGGAGAUCACUGUGAAGGCUCUGAGGGACUUCGUGUCUGCUGGCAUCAGUGGGGCAUCCAGAUCAGAUCUUCCUUAGUAAGAUGGGAGCUUAUUCAGCCUGAUUUUCACUGUCCAAAGGUGGAGUGCCUUGCCUCGACUAGCUAUGAUCAAUAUGGACAGAGACACACCUAUCAGGGAGCCAUUUAUUUCAUGCUUAUGUAUGAGAUAAUCAGUCUUAUUCAAGACCAGUGGGAGAACUGGCUCCUGUCUGUAUAUCACCUGUAAGGAGAGCCCAAACAACAGGCUUGGCUAGGUGACUACCAUUCAGAUAGCUGUGCUAUAGGGCCAAGAUACAGACAGGCUGCCACCUGGGUGGAGACAACCAUCUACAUGUGAUGCAUGUGGUGAUGGAAGUCACCAUGUUCUCAAGCCCUUUCUUUACCUUGGAGCAGACACAGCACUGGUCAUAAAUCAGCAGUAAAUAAAAUGCUAAAACUUAACAAGUUGAAAAGAAUAAUCAACUCAUGCUUACAUAGGAGUUACAUGAAAACUUCCUAAAAAUAUUUGCGUUAUGAAUCUGUCUAUCCCUGGUCUAGAGAGGUUCCAGCAGUC